rnacentral:rRNA from 1 species
UACAGAGGUCCCGAGCGUUGUUCGGAUUCACUGGGCGUAAAGGGUGCGUAGGUGGCUUGGUAAGUUUGGUGUGAAAGCUCAGGGCUCAACCCUGAAAUGGCAUUGAAUACUACUGAGCUGGAGGUUUGGAGGGGGGACUGGAAUUCUCGGUGUAGCAGUGAAAUGCGUAGAUAUCGAGAGGAACACCAGUGGCGAAGGCGAGUCCCUGGACAACACCUGACACUGAGGCACGAAAGCUAGGGGAGCAAACAGG